rnacentral:rRNA from 1 species
CGGUAAAACGUAGGACGCGAGCGUUAUCCGGAUUUACUGGGCGUAAAGCGCGUUGAGGCGGUCCCGUAAGUUGGGCGUGAAAGCCCCGGGCUCAACCCGGGGAGGCCGUUCAAUACUGCGGGACUUGAGGGCAGGAGAGGGAGGUGGAAUUCCCGGUGUAGUGGUGAAAUGCGUAGAUAUCGGGAGGAACACCAGUGGCGAAGGCGGCCUCCUGGCCUGUCCCUGACGCUGAAGGCGAAAGCUAGGGGAGCGAACGGGAUUAGAUACCCCGGUAGUCCUAGCCGUAAACGAUGGAUGCUAGGUGUGGGGGGAGAGAUUCCCUCCGUGCCGAAGCUAACGCGUUAAGCAUCCCGCCUGGGGACUACGGCCGCAAGGCUAAAACUCAAACGAAUUGACGGGGGCCCGCACAAGCAGCGGAGCGUGUGAUUUAAUUCGAUGCUACACGAAGAACCUUACCUGGGCUUGACAUGCGCGUGGUAGGGAUCCGAAAGGUGACCGACCUUCGGGAGCGCGCACAGGUGCUGCAUGGCUGUCGUCAGCUCGUGCCGUGAGGUGUCGGGUUAAGUCCCGUAACGAGCGCAACCCCUGCCCCUAGUUACAAGUGUCUAGGGGGACUGCCCGGGAUAACUGGGAGGAAGGUGGGGAUGACGUCAAGUCAGCAUGGCCUUUAUGUCCAGGGCUACACACACGCUACAAUGGCCGGUACAAUGGGUUGCCAAGCCGCGAGGCGGAGCCAAUCCCCCAAAGCCGGUCUCAGUUCGGAUUGCAGGCUGCAACUCGCCUGCAUGAAGCUGGAGUUGCUAGUAACCGCGCGUCAGCAAUAGUGCGGUGAAUACGUUCCCGGG